GAUGAAGAACGCAGCGAAAUGCGAUAAGUAGUGUGAAUUGCAGAAUUCAGUGAAUCAUCGAGUCUUUGAACGCACAUUGCGCCCCCUGGUAUUCCGGGGGGCAUGCCUGUCCGAGCGUCAUUGCUGCCCUCAAGCACGGCUUGUGUGUUGGGCCUCCGUCCUCCUCCCGGGGGACGGGCCCGAAAGGCAGCGGCGGCACCGCGUCCGGUCCUCGAGCGUAUGGGGCUUCGUCACCCGCUCUUGUAGGCCCGGCCGGCGCUUGCCGACACAUCAAUCUUUUUUCCAGGUUGACCUCGGAUCAGGUAGGGAUACCCGCUGAACUUAAGCAUAUCAAUAAGCGGAGGA
rnacentral:misc_RNA from 1 species